GAUGAACGCUGGCGGCGUGCCUAAUACAUGCAAGUCGAGCGAACAACCGGGGAUCGUCCUGCGGUGAAGUAGCGAACGGGCGGGUAAGUCGUAGGUAACUAACCUCGCUAUCCGGCACAAAUAGCGGCAAGAAACGCUAACACCGGCCGUACAAUCUGGUCUACCGCUCAGUGCGUAAAGGAAGGUUCGGCCUGCGUACACGGAGGGGUCCGCGCCCCAUUAGUUAGUUGGUGAGGUAACGGCCCACCAAGCACGCGAUGGGUAGCUGGCCUGAGAGGAAGAUCGGCCACACUGGGACUGAGACACGGCCCAGACUCCUACGGGAGGCAGCAGUGGGGAAUCUUGCGCAAUGCGCGAAAGCGUGACGCAGCAACGCCGCGUGAGUGAAGAAGGUCUUCGGGUUGUAAAACCCUGUUAGUAGGGACGAAGAUACGGGGAAGAAAAUGCGUCCAGACUGACGGUACCUCAACAGAAAGCCCCGGCUAACUACGUG
rnacentral:rRNA from 1 species